CUUUAAAUAAAUUAUUUAUCAUAUACAUUGAUUGUUAGUUAUGUACAUAAAUAUUGUGCAAAUUUCGUCGGCUUUCGACUUCGUUGCUGCCGUUCUAACACGCUCCUGAUGUAAUAUAUCUUCGGCCAUGUGAUCUUUAUAUUUGUUCCAUAAAUCAAUCGGUGUUGAUGGGAAGCAUGUAGACAAAAGUAUGGCAAACAAUGUUCGUAUUUUGUUAGCAUUUGACGAAAUCACAGCAUCUUCGAGAGUGUGGUCCCAAUGAGUGUCAUUCUCGAGCAGUGCCAUACGUUGACUUGCUUCUCUGCAUGUGCCGCACAAUACACCAUUAACAGUUCGCAGAUGUUGGAAUGAUGUUGGGCCAUGAACAUUGACUCACAGUAAACGCAAAUAAAACACUCGUUUUGGCUGGGAUGCACUGUGUAAAGACGUCUUAGUGCAUCUGUGGAAAAUACUUGUUGGUAUAAUAUCGUGGCAUUUCGGAAUUAUUUACGGCCAAAUGAACAACAGUGGGGUAUCUUUCAUGUAUUGGAAAUGAAACGAGAAGGAACGUGUGAGUCGCUUCUGGGGACGCGACUCUACUUAUACCCGUACUCAGUCAGUAUAUACA